CAAUAGCGUAUAUUAAAGUUGUUGCGGUUAAAAAGCUCGUAGUUGGAUUUCUGCUGAGGAUGACCGGUCCGCCCUGUGGGUGUGCAUCUGGCUCAGCCUUGGCAUCUUCCUGAAGAACGUAGCUGCACUUGACUGUGUGGUGCGGUAUUUAGGACAUUUACUUUGAGGAAAUUAGAGUGUUUCAAGCAAGCGCACGCCUUGAAUACAUUAGCAUGGAAUAAUAAGAUAGGACCUUGGUUCUAUUUUGUUGGUUUCUAGAGCUGAGGUAAUGAUUGAUAGGGAUAGUUGGGGGCAUUCGUAUUUAACCGUCAGAGGUGAAAUUCUUGGAUUUGUUAAAGACGGACUACUGCGAAAGCAUUUGCCAAGGAUGUUUUCAUUGA
rnacentral:rRNA from 1 species